GGGGCGCAAAAACACUAAACUAUCACACACGUAGUGACUAACAACAACCACACUUUGUAUUUGUGGCAGUUGCUGCUGCAACAAAAAGAAAAAGCGACAACUAUGAUGAAAUCGAGACGUCAUCAUCUGCUGCGGAGCCACGAGGAAACAACCGCAACCGUCGCUUCCUUCUCAUCCUCCCGACUGUCGCCUGUCGCGGAGCUUCGACGAAGUCACACCAACUGUACCUGUUAGAAACCCCGGUAUCGUCCGUCCUCCUUUCUUUCUUCUCUCCCAGUCCUUAGAUACUCGGUCAGUCUCUGUUAAUCUGAUUACGAGGGAUGCUCGGUCUGUAUUUGUAGUUGGCCUGGUGUCUCCGCCCACCGUUGGACCAACCAAUCAGCCUCCACCCCGACCCCCUCUCUCUCUCUCUCUCUCUCUCUCUCUCUCUCUCUCUCUAGAAAAGCUGAUCAAACAAACAAACAAACAUUAAUAGUGCUUAUUAGAUCACCUACUUGGACCAAUUUCCUGUCAACAUCUAUUCUAUCAUAUAACGCCACUUGUUGAUUCCGGUAUAUUAUGCCCAUGUUUGGUUUCUUGACAUGAUUAUAGCCUUUGCCCCAGUUAGUUCAGAUCUUCAGUGUCAUUUUGGCUGUGGCUCUCUUGUGUUUUAGAUUUAAGCUGAAGUCACUCACUCGUGGCGUAAAUAGGGGCCGAGGGAGAAAGUUGUCAUGCUGCAAAACCCUGUCAGAGCAACUCAGGCUGAAGACAUUUUGUCAAAAAUUGUUAGUAACAAGCAACAAAGUCGGAGCAAUUCUGCAAACCUUUCCUGAAGGAGAGCAGUGUGGUGCUGCAGAAGCAUGCUGGGCCCAUAACCAACAUCCUCUCAUUGUCACACUUGAGUCUCAGCAGACUCUGCGAAUUCCAUAUCCUCCAAUAAAUCCUCAUAUAGCUCCAUGUAUGUAGUAGAGAAAGAUGUUAUGUACAGAGGUUAUUACUGCAGCCUGAACACAACCUGUUUGACUGCUUUCAGGAACUGACUGUUCUUUUGUCAGUAACGCCAAACUGGUUCAACAUAUAUAGAAAUAUUUACCUCAUUUGUGUCUGCAAAUAUUAUCCCUUCGAUUUAACAAGCAAUUACCAGAUCCAGCUCCAGUGAAGAGGAACACGGACCUUUGAGCUACAGCUUGUUGGAUAUGAACUCACCCUCCAGCUACCUCCUGUUCAAGGCAUUGAGAAGGUUUUGUCUACAUGGGACACAAGUUUUACAAAGUAUUUACCCCCCCCAAUACAUCUGUGAGUCAGUAAGAAGCAAAUGAAAUCAAAUGAAAUACAGUUUGUAAAAUGUGAAAUAAAUAAAAGUUACGGGAGUGGGGUUGAAAGGAUUGUUUCACAGUAUGUAAGCUGGAACUUCCUCUGCAUUACAGCGUCUGUCGUUUUCUUGCUUUGAUGAAUUGUCUCACGCAGGUUAUGUCCAUUUGCUUUUCUUAUUUUAGCAUCUUUGACACAAAGAAACAGACACGCCUGUUUAUUUUAAUUGAGUAUGGAUUUACAUUGGUUUGGUCAUGAUGCUACAAUGGAAUAAAAAUGUAUAAAACCAA